UUUGAUGCUCCGUGUCAUAACUUGUCAAUAAAGUGUUAAGAAUCUGUCCUACACUGCGUGGGACGAUUUUCUGAACAUAUAUAUCAAUAUCUUAAUAAGGUAAUAAGGAAGACAUGUCAUAUAGAGACUGUUUAUGGAUCUGGAAUGACAUAUAAUAAACAAAUUAGCCAUAAUACUUAUCAGUACAUCUAGAACCAACUUAUU
rnacentral:lncRNA from 1 species